AAAAUAAUCCAACUCUUUUUUUACAGAAUAAUAUACCAGCACAUUUUUAAAAACCUGUAAGAUAUGGCAUGUAUGGAGAGAAUUUUCUGGCAAUAAAACAACACAAAAUCUACAUGUAUAUGGGGAUAAAUUUUCAUCUAAAGCAGACAUACAAGGUUCAAUAUACAACCUGCCUUUUUCAUAAUGAAAACAUUGAAGAACAGACACCAAGACCCCAAGCUUGCUUCAAAAUAGCUUAACCAGCAGAAUCUUUACAUUGUAGGCUCCACAGUGCCUUAACAUGAGAAGUUUUCAAAUCGUUUGACCAUGAUCUAAGGGGCUGAUAAAAUUUCUUAAGUGCUCUAGAAGCAAUGCAGUCACUGUCAGGAAAAUGAAGCCAGAAUUGUGUAAAAA